rnacentral:rRNA from 1 species
UACCGGCAGCACGAGUGAUGGCCGAUCUUAUUGGGCCUAAAGCGUCCGUAGCCGGCCGAGCAAGUCCGUUGGGAAAUCCACGCGCUCAACGCGUGGGCGUCCAGCGGAAACUGUUCGGCUUGGGGCCAGAGGACUCGAGGGGUACGUCCGGGGUAGGAGUGAAAUCCCGUAAUCCUGGACGGACCACCGGUGGCGAAAGCGCCUCGAGAAGAUGGACCCGACGGUGAGGGACGAAAGCUUGGGUCUCGAACCGG